rnacentral:rRNA from 1 species
CGCUGGCGGCGCGCCUAACACAUGCAAGUCGAACGAGCAAAGAGGAGCUUGCUUCUCUGAGCGAGUGGCGAACGGGUGAGUAACGCGUGAGGAACCUGCCUCAAAGAGGGGGACAACAGUUGGAAACGACUGCUAAUACCGCAUAAGCCCACGGGUCGGCAUCGACCAGAGGGAAAAGGAGCAAUCCGCUUUGAGAUGGCCUCGCGUCCGAUUAGCUAGUUGGUGAGGUAAUGGCCCACCAAGGCGACGAUCGGUAGCCGGACUGAGAGGUUGAACGGCCACAUUGGGACUGAGACACGGCCCAGACUCCUACGGGAGGCAGCAGUGGGGAAUAUUGCACAAUGGGGGAAACCCUGAUGCAGCGACGCCGCGUGGAGGAAGAAGGUCUUCGGAUUGUAAACUCCUGUUGUUGAGGAAGAUAAUGACGGUACUCAACAAGGAAGUGACGGCUAACUACGUG